rnacentral:rRNA from 1 species
AUACGUAGGUGGCAAGCGUUAUCCGGAAUUAUUGGGCGUAAAGAGUGAGCAGGCGGUUAAUUAAGUCUGAGGUUAAAGCGUGGGGCUCAACCCCCUAAAGCCUUGGAAACUGAUUGACUAGAGUACGGGAGAAGGGAAGGGAACUCCAUGUGUAGCGGUGAAAUGCGUAGAUAUAUGGAAGAACACCAGUGGCGAAGGCGCUUCACUAGACCGAAACUGACGCUCAGUCACGAAAGCGUGGGUAGCAAAUAGGAUUAGAUGCCCUAGUAGUCCACGCUGUAAACGAUGACAACUAAAUAUUGCCGCGAGGCAGUGUUGAAGCUAACGCAUUAAGUUGUCCGCCUGGGGAGUACGGUCGCAAGACUGAAACUUAAAGGAAUUGACGGGG